rnacentral:rRNA from 1 species
GACGAACGCUGGCGGCGUGCUUAACACAUGCAAGUCGAACGGAAAGGCCCUGCUUUUGUGGGGUGCUCGAGUGGCGAACGGGUGAGUAACACGUGAGUAACCUGCCCUUGACUUUGGGAUAACUUCAGGAAACUGGGGCUAAUACUGGAUAGGAGCUCCUGCUGCAUGGUGGGGGUUGGAAAGUUUCGGCGGUUGGGGAUGGACUCGCGGCUUAUCAGCUUGUUGGUGGGGUAGUGGCUUACCAAGGCUUUGACGGGUAGCCGGCCUGAGAGGGUGACCGGACACAUUGGGACUGAGAUACGGCACAGACUCCUACGGGAGGCAGCAGUGGGGAAUAUUGCACAAUGGGCGGAAGCCUGAUGCAGCAACGCAGCGUGCGGGAUGACGGCCUUCGGGUUGUAAACCGCUUUCGCCUGUGACGAAGCGUGAGUGACGGUAAUGGGUAAAGAAGCACCGGCUAACUACGUG